rnacentral:rRNA from 1 species
AUUGAACGCUGGCGGCAUGCCUUACACAUGCAAGUCGAACGGUAACGGGCCUUCGGGUGCCGACGAGUGGCGGACGGGUGAGUAAUACAUCGGAACGUGCCCGAUCGUGGGGGAUAACGAGGCGAAAGCUUUGCUAAUACCGCAUACGAUCUACGGAUGAAAGCAGGGGACCGCAAGGCCUUGCGCGGACGGAGCGGCCGGUGGCAGAUUAGGUAGUUGGUGGGAUAAAAGCUUACCAAGCCGACGAUCUGUAGCUGGUCUGAGAGGAUGAUCAGCCACACUGGGACUGGGAAACGGCCCAGACUCCUACGGGAGGCAGCAGUGGGGAAUUUUGGACAAUGGGCGCAAGCCUGAUCCAGCCAUGCCGCGUGCAGGAUGAAGGCCUUCGGGUUGUAAACUGCUUUUGUACGGAAAGAAAAGCCUUCUUUUAAUACAGGAGGGUCAUGACGGUACCGUAAGAAUAAGCACCGGCUAACUACGUG